rnacentral:rRNA from 1 species
AGUGGCGUACGGGUGAGUUAUAUAUCGGAACGUGCCCAGUAGUGGGGGAUAGCCCGGCGAAAGCCGGAUUAAUACCGCUUACGACCUACGGGUGAAAGCGGGGGAUCGCAAGACCUCGCGCUAUUGGAGCGGCCGAUAUCAGAUUAGCUAGUUGGUGGGGUAAAAGCCCACCAAGGCGACGAUCUGUAGCUGGUCUGAGAGGACGACCAGCCACACUGGGACUGAGACACGGCCCAGACUCCUACGGGAGACAGCAGUGGGGAAUUUUGGACAAUGGACGCAAGUCUGAUCCAGCCAUGCCGCGUGCGGGAAGAAGGCCUUCGGGUUGUAAACCGCUUUUGUCAGGGAAGAAAAGUCUUGGGUUAAUACCUCGGGACGAUGACGGUACCUGAAGAAUAAGCACCGGCUAACUACGUGCCAGCAGCCGCGGUAAUACGUAGGGUGCAAGCGUUAAUCGGAAUUACUGGGCGUAAAGCGUGCGCAGGCGGUUCUAUAAGACAGAUGUGAAAUCCCCGGGCUCAACCUGGGAACUGCAUUUGU